UACGUAGGUGGCAAGCGUUGUCCGAAUUUACUGGGCGUAAAGAGCGCGCAGGCGGCCAAGUCAGUCGAAUGUGAAAGCCCCCGGCUUAACUGGGGAGGGUCAUUCGAUACUGCUCGGCUCGAAGACAGGAGAGGGAAGCGGAAUUCCCGGUGUAGUGGUGAAAUGCGUAGAUAUUGGGAGGAACACCAGUGGCGAAGGCGGCUUUCUGGCCUGUUCUUGACGCUGAGGCGCGAAAGCUAGGGGAGCAAACGGG
rnacentral:rRNA from 1 species